AGUCAGAGUUUGAACCAAAACAGCUGAGUUGAACCACCAGAGUUCAGGAAGAGUAAGCAAGAAAGGAAAACCACCACUGGAAAAAAUGAAAGGACAACUGAACAAGAAAGCACCAUGGUAUUUUCUUUGAAAUUGUAUCUUCUUUAUAGCACAAGGAAUUUACGAAUGUGAAAGGUCAUCAAUAUGAUUGCCCCAGCAAAACCACAUUAAUGACCAACUGACAUGCUAACACAGGGAGCUUGAAGUGCCUUGUAGAUGUUAUCACAUGAAUCCUCUUGCUGUCCCAGUGAGGCCAGGAACAAAUAGUCUGCCAUCCUGGAGAACAGACUGAGAAAGCCGUUAUCAGGGAACAUAGGAUACACAGCAGUCUCCAUGAAGGAUGGAUGCAGUGCAUAUUGUUGCAGUGGUUUGCGAAAGCUCACAUCCUAGCAGCAUCGUUUGGAUGGAUGGUAAGUGAUUGAU
rnacentral:lncRNA from 1 species